rnacentral:rRNA from 1 species
AACGAACGUUAGCGGCGCGCCUAACACAUGCAAGUCGCACGAGAAAGGGCUUCGGCCCCGGUAAAGUGGCGCACGGGUGAGUAACACGUGGGUAACCUGCCCUCGAGCGGGGGAUAACAUUCCGAAAGGAGUGCUAAUACCGCAUAAGACCACGACCUCGAAAGAGGAUGGGGUCAAAGCUGGCCUCUAUACAUAAGCUAGCACUUGAGGAUGGGCCCGCGGCGCAUCAGGUAGUGGUGAGGUAACGGCUCACCAAGCCUAAGACGCGUAGCUGGUCUGAGAGGAUGACCAGCCACACUGGAACUGAGACACGGUCCAGACUCUACGGAGGCAGCAGUGGGGAAUC